AGAGUUUGAUCCUGGCUCAGGACGAACGCUGGCGGCGCGCUUAACACAUGCAAGUCGAGCGAGAACCAGUCCUUCGGGGCUGGGGACAGCGGCGAACGGGUGAGUAACACGUGGGUAAUCUGCCCUCGGCACCGGAAUAGCCCGGGGAAACCCGGAUUAAUGCCGGAUGGCCUCUCUGCCCUACGGGGCGGCGAGAAAAGGUAGCUUUGGCCUCCGGCCGAGGAUGAGCCCGCGGCCGAUUAGCUUGUUGGUGAGGUAACGGCUCACCAAGGCGACGAUCGGUAGCUGGUCUGAGAGGACGAUCAGCCACACUGGGACUGAGACACGGCCCAGACUCCUACGGGAGGCAGCAGUGGGGAAUCUUGCGCAAUGGGCGAAAGCCUGACGCAGCGACGCCGCGUGCGGGAAGAAGGCCUUCGGGUUGUAAACCGCUUUCAGGAGGGACGAAGCCACUCAGGUUAAUAGCCGAGAGGGUGACGGUACCUCCAGAAAGAAGCCCGGCUAACUACGUGCCAGCAGCCGCGGUA
rnacentral:rRNA from 1 species